rnacentral:lncRNA from 1 species
UUUGACUACUUUGGAGGACAGGCUUUAGGGAGAAACCUGUUGUUCUUGUUUUUUUUUUUUUUUUUUCCAGGGGUGGCGGGGGGGGUUGGCAGUUGGCAUUUCUCUUAUGCCUGCUCCAGCUCUAUCCAGAGACGUGGCAUCAUAGAGACAUCCCGAUCUCCUCUGUGGAGGUCAUCGGACUGUACGGAAGAUGGGGAUGGGAUAGAAGAAAAUGGACUGGCAACCAGCUCUGCAGGGAAAUACAGGCAUACACUCACAAGAAACACCGUGCUUUAUCACCCAUAACAAAAAGAAAACGAAAUGUCAAUACUCUGCCCUAGCGAUAUCUGUGCGAGGCAAAAAAAGAAAAAAGCAAGCAAGCAAACCAGCAAGGGCUUUGGCGUUUGGGAAUAAUUAUUUAACAGCAGCUUGUUUGCACUUUGGAACACCUCGUGCUUCCAGAGCCGGCCCAUCCUGCUGGGGAGGGGAGAGGUCCCAGCGCUGCUGUCUGGCAGACCUUGGUUUCGGUGGGCACCAGAAGCGAGGCAGAUUGCUUGCUGCUGCAACUUCACGCGUGAGCUCCAGGCUCCCCUGGUUGGAAGGUGCCAGGGAGUGAGGCGGUUUUAAGAUUCCUUCAACAUCAGGAUUCCCGAUCAUCUCAUCAACCGACUUGUUAAGAAAACUGAGGCCCAGGGAAGUGGCUCACAAUUGUGUAGAAUUGUGAGGUGUCUUGACUGCUGGGCCAGGACUGAAGGACGUACGCCCUCUCCCGGAAUCGUCUCAGCUACAGAGAACCACCUUGCCCAAGGUGUGCACAGGGUGUGGCUUCCAAGGGGAAUGUGGAUGCUGGAAUGAGGGAGGCAGCCACCUAGGCCGGUCAAGUCAGAGGCCCAGCAAGGAGAAAGCGAGCCAAGGCAAACGCCGACAGAAGAGAACGAUAAAUCCGCGGCGCACUCGGCAGAACGUACACCGCACCGCAUAAUUUAGCGGGGCAAUGCCGCCGGGAGUCCACGCCAAGUUAAUGGAAUAUUUCCUGUAAAUAUUAUUUUCCCUUCCUGUCUCAUCAUCUCAUUUCAUUCAAAAAUCUUUACUAAUCCGGGGGAGUGAAAGUAAUGCAUCAAUUUCCAGAGCCAAUGCCCCUGCUUCCGAAAUACCCUUAGGAAUCACUGGAAGCCACCGCGGCUGCUUAGGGACAGGGGGGCAGGCCGUUUACUCUGGUUCCUUCUCCUAAUGCCUCAGAGGGGACCCCAUAGUGCUCCUAAUUGUGCAUCUAAGUGUACAUAAAAGCCCCCCUAAUUGCACAUCAAAUAAAUAAGUAAAUGCUGUCUGCUGAAUAUGUAACAAGGACUGAUGUUGCUAUUUCUUCCCAGGGGGGAGAUUUCAUUAAAUCUGGGCUGCAUUUCUAAGUGAUGAUUUACAGAUAUUGAAUAUUCUUUACAAGGGAGGCUUUUUUGGAGUUAUGUGCUUCACAAUAUUUGCUCUAAUGCUUAAAGCCUCAGAUACAGCCUGCUGGAGGUCUCUUUAUUCUAACUCUUAGUGUCCUUUUGGAAAGUCUUUUCUGCUUUAAUGUGUAAUGGCUUCCGAUGAUCAGAUGGCUGGUUUGUCUGCAGGUCUGGGGACUGUGCAACCCCCUGGUCUCCCAAUGCCUCAGUUACUGACGCUGCAAACAAGGCAGAUUGUCCCAGAGAUUAGAGCUCUCAGGCUUUCUCGGGCUUCAAUCAAUCAAAGGAACGUAAGGACCCCUCCCCUACAGAGAGAGCCGGACGUGAGCCAGAUUUUGUCCAGACUUACUUAUAUCUGCCCUGUGGGAUCCCGAUUCUGCAAGAUUUAAUAAACAAUGCCUCAACAGAUAGCAUUUAAUUUUCAUUCAAACGUUUCCAGGGAAGAAAGAGGUAAAACUCUUGCUUGUACCAGCACAACUGCCCGAAACCCGUGGGAUACCCAGUCUGAGGCAUGUUGCUAUCGACAGUCAUUUCACACAGCUGGCAGUUUUUUCUUUUCUGAUGGCCUAGCUCUCUUUACUCCACCGUAAAUGCAAACUAAGACGAAACUUGGGAUUUACCUCCGGUGCCUAAAUGCCAACCUGACACUGUCUCAUUGUCUCCUGAGCCCAGUAGGACGGUAAUUUGUGAAAUACGGAGCCUCUCACCUCAGCAGCGCUUCUUUCUAUUCCCACACAUAUGCACAUGCUAAAAUGGAAUGUGGUAACUAGCAUAAAAUAGGGUACAACAAUUGCUGCAAGAUUUGU